rnacentral:rRNA from 1 species
UACAGAGGUCUCAAGCGUUGUUCGGAUUCAUUGGGCGUAAAGGGUGCGUAGGUGGCGCGGUAAGUCGGGUGUGAAAUUUCGGAGCUUAACUCCGAAACUGCAUUCGAUACUGCCGUGCUUGAGGACUGGAGAGGAGACUGGAAUUUACGGUGUAGCAGUGAAAUGCGUAGAGAUCGAUAAGGAAGACCAGUGGCGAAGGCGGGU